GGAAUGUCACUGCAAUUGUCAGAGAAGUGGGGUAGCUGUGUUCUCAUGGCAGCACCUCUUAAGAAAGAAGACAGAAGAAGAGCAGACUUAGUUCCUGUGUGGCAGCCCCCGUGGUGGGAAUUCCCAGCCUUGACCAUGGCACACUGGAAGAGGAACAUGGGUAACAAGGAACAUUUCCUGAAACUUGUUGCCAUUUAUAAGCAUACCAAAUGAGAAAGAAGAGGCGCUACUAGUAUGGAACUGGGGCAACAUCACAAAAUCAACAAGGAAAGCAUCUGAAAUAUCUGUAAAGGAAAAGGAUAAGGGAAGGAGGACAAUUCUUUACCAAGUUCAGUAAUACAAUAUGAAAGAGGGGCCAAAAAUUCAUAUUGAACAGGAACAAAAAUGUCUCUGAACCCCAAAAAAGUCAGCCUACAAGAAUAAAUUGAGAAAAUACUAAAGCUGGAACUAGAUCAAUAAGAUUCAGAAUGGGUUCUAGAUGCCGUCGUUUUUCUGUCAAGAGGCAUUAAAAGAAGAGAGUGAAUACUGUAGUGGACCUCCCAAGGCUCCUGCUUAGGACCAACGCUCUGGUUUCAGUUGUCAGAAGCACUGACUGCUGGUAGGCUGGCUGCAAACACAGUCAUCCCUGGAAAUCUCCCUCAGACAGAGAGCUGCCUCACCCAAGUGAGGCCCCUUCCUGAAGGACUGACAGAGACUGUUGCCAUCUGCAUUGAAGUGCAACUUCUUCCCUUGCCUCUUCCUAAUUUUCUCACUUCCACUCUUCCUCACAGCAUUCCCAAGUAAACUUCCUUCAUGUGAAUCUUGUCACCUCAGAGUAUGUUUUGCAGGGAACCAGAACAACGAUACCUCCCUCUUUACUCCUACCUGUGUCUUGGAACAUACACAGACUACAUGUUAACUCCAUGCACGGUUAAUUGCCAAAUGACUCACAGACCGUGCGACGUCAUCAUCAGGCUGCCUGGAGAGGAUGGGAAGGAUAAAACUUCUCACAAGUUAAUGGAGACAUAGACUCUUCUACUUUCUCAAUUGAAUUCAUUUCUCACAAAUGUCACCUGUAGUUAUUUAGAUCCAAGAAAACGUCAAAAAUGGAACUACAUAUUUGUAUGUAACAAAUGAUAGUUGGUCUUUAUUAUGACAUUUAUUCACACUUGUACGUAGAAAUGGGAAAUUGUCUCAAGGUUACAUAACUCAUGAGCUGGUACUCUUCAUCUCUUUCAUGAAGACAGAUGUUUUGGGAGAUUAGAAGCCAUGUAUCUCUGUUGUACCAGGUGCUGCAUAUCACCUUGUUUUAGUUAUACAUUAGAAUACUAUUGAAAACUCAUGACUCAAAUUGAUUUUGAUUUCUAAGAAAUGAUGAGGAGAACCUAAAAUUUAACCCAUUCAUUUUACCAUAAUUGAGUAUUUCUCAGAAUUUAAGCUCUUCCUCAUUAUCAGUUGUCUAUAUUUACAGGUUGUAAAACUUGAAAUACACAAGAUUUUCACAGGUGUAGGUACAAAACAGGCCAAAUUAUAAAACCAAAAGAGUUUAAAUGAACCUAUGUAAUUUAAGGUAAAUAAUUUUAUUACCUGUUUUACCUUGGUAGUGUAUAUUGUGUGUAUUGUACAUUCCACUUUUAUAUCUCUAUAAAGACAAUAUCUUUCCUACAUAUUAAUGUAGGUAAAUAGCUAAUGUUAUACAGAGUUCAGGAGGAAUUAGAUUAUUAGAUUUCCUCCCUUGUGGAUUGUCUUAAUCUGCUGAGGCUGCUAUAACAAAUACCAUGGAAUGGGUAUCUUAAAUAAUAGAAACUGAUUUCUCACAAUUCUGGAAGGCCGCAAUCAGGGUGCCAACAUGGCUGGGUUGUGGGUUGUGCCCUUUUAUUGGUUUGUAAACAGUAUCUUCUUUUUGGAUCUUCACAUGAUGGGGGGGCAGGAAGCAAACUCUUUGUGUCUCUUGGGGUUUUUUUUGUUUGUGUUUGUUUUUGUUUUUUGUUUCAUUUUUUUUUUUGUUUUUUGGGUUUUUCUGUUUUUGAGGGCCGCAGGUGUGGCAUAUGGAAGUUCCCAGGCUAGGGAUCUGAGCCGUGUCUGCAACCUACACCACAGCUCACCACAACUGAGCAAGGCCAGUGAUUGAACCCACAUCUUCAUGGAUACUAGUUGGGUUCCUUACUGCUGAGCCACAGCAGGAACUCUCUUGUAAAAAAGGUGUUAAUCCCAUCAUGAGGGCUCUACCCCCAUGAGCUAAUUACUUCCCAAAGGUUCCAUCUCCAAAUAUCAUUACAUCCGCAUUAAGACUUCAACAAAGGAAUUUAGUGGGGAGACACAAAUAUUCAAUUCUUAUUUUUCACACCUAAUCAAAGAAGUACAAAUUAUGCAAUCAAAACUUAAAACUGAGUAGUUUAUAUUGUCCAUAGAAUUUUAAGAGUUUAAAUCAGAAUGGAGCUUGCAUUUACAAAACAGGUAACAAAGCCCUUUGUUACCAUCAUUUCAAAAUGUAGAUAAGAAUUGUAUUUCUUAUUGGCUGCUUUUAACUUUGUUGAAGGUACAUUAAAUUAUGUUAAUGCGUCAGUGGGGAUAUAUUUUGCCUUCACUUUACUACCCAUUGAACAAUUGCUUUAUUUUUACAGAAUUACAGAUAGGAAUGGAAAAUAGGCACCCCAUAAACUAGAGAAGUACUUGAGAGUAACCCCUUGGAAUAACCAAGGAAAGAAGAGCUAGAAAGAGUGGAGGUAUUAAAUUAUAGGAUAUUUUCAGAGAAAUACAAUGUUUGAAAAAACUGCAAGUGCCUGAGACAAUUCAAACUAAUCGAUGAACUACCAUAAUAGUGGUUCUUAUGAGAUUUGGUUUAAUGUCUAGAAGAAAAUUAUCUAAAAUUAGCAUAUCAGUUAUUUGCAGGUAAACAGAUGUUUUAUUUCUGCAGCUUGAGGGUGUUCAAAAACAAUUUGUUUACUGAAAUAACUUAUAAAUCUUCCUCCAGCAAUCUUAUUUUAUUUUAUGAAUUAACCUGGAUAUAUUAAUGCAAAGUUUGCAGAGUUCCUGUUGUGGCUCAGUGAGUUAAGAACCUGAUAUACCUUCUGUGAGAAUGUGGGUUCGAUCCCUGGCCUCGCUUGGUGGGUUAAGGAUCCAGCACUGCUAUGGCUAUGGCAUGGGCUGGCAGCUGCAGCUUUGAUCCGACCCCUAUGCUCCAGGUGUGGGCUUAGAAAAAUUAAUUAACUAACUAAUUAAAGCAAAGUUUGCCACACACUCCCCUCCUGGGUGCCGCACCUUCCAUUUAGCUAAGCCACAAAUCUGUACAUUUGUGGUAUUAACUGCUAGCCUUCUCCCUCAUCUUUGUUAUCUGAAAGACAAGAUUAUGCUUUUUCAUUUAAUAAGUGCUGCUUCUAUCAAAAUAAGUUUUGUCAUUAAAAUACUUAAAUAUUACUAUCAAAAUAUUUAAUCAUAAACAAGAUUUGAAAAGACUGUCUAAAUAGAAUAUGAUAUUUUCCCGACUAUAUUUUACAUCUUAUGAAUAGUUAUUUGAUCCAAUCUUAGCAUUGCCGGGAAUAGAGUUGUUCAGAAGCAGGGUGGACUCCUAACAGGGACAACAUCUCAAAACUUGUCCUUGACACUCGGCCAGGCACAUUUACCACCAGCAAUCCCUAAGACAGAACAAGGAAGAAGAAUCAUCACUACAGACAGUACGUUUGGUUAAGAGGAUAUGUUAAACAGAAAAAUGAUUUCUGUCUUCAAAAGAGUUAAAAAGGAGUUUCUUCUCAAAAUAGUUAUUAACAGUCUUAAACCUCAUUAAAUGUUUUCAAAUGAUUACAAAUUCUCAAUUUAAAACUGGGCAAGCCUUAAAGGUUUUUAUGGCUGUACAUAGUUUAGAAAAGGCAAUGAUCAGCUCAGUGUGUCUUCAUGUAGCUAAGUGACUCCUCAUAAUUAUUCAAAAGGAUGACCUGGUUCAGAACUUGGGCUCUGGAGCCAGAGCAUCUGAGUUCAAAUCUUGACCUCACUACUUCCUAGCUGUGUGACGUUGCCAUUAGGUCAGUGAGCCAUUUACCUUGUGCCUCAGAUUCCUCACCUAAUAAAUGGAGAUGAUUACAGUUACACCUACCUCACAGAGUUAUGAAGAUUCAAUGUAUUAAUACAUAUAAAGCAAUUGGAAUGAUGCUUAGCACAAAAUUACCUACCCAGUUUCAUCAGUUAAUUUUUCCAUAUAGAAGCUAACUUAUAAAUUCCCCCAACUUUGUGUCCUAGUUUAGAUUCUCAUAUAAUCCAUUAUGUCGACAUGUAAUGUUGUUAAAGCUUCCUACCAUUGAAAAAAUGUGUAUAUAACAUCUGGACAUCAAAAAAAUGAGGUGAUUUUGUUAAAAGUUUGGUACUGUAAAGAAUUGUGACCUACUUUCUUUUGGUUUGUGAAGAGCCCAGCCUUUCGUACCUGAAGUUUUUUAGAACAUAAGAAACAUCACACUGAGUUGCACAUUCUCUCUCUGAUAGUGGUACCUAGAAGGCAGCCCCAGGGAUAACCUAGCUUCCCUCCAUAUGACCAAACUAAAGCCUUCAGGAAGGUACACCAAUGAUGUUGUAUUCCUUCCCUUGGACCCAUCAGGCAUCUCUCAUUCAUUUACGCCAAUCUUUAAAUCACAUGCCAUUUUUAAUCUAUCCCAAUCUAGAUGGGUGAGAAGCUAAAUACAUGUCUAUUUCUUUUUAUAUCUAACCUGAAAAUUACACUUUUAAUCUUCACUAAGCACCUUUUUGUUCUAAUUCCAUAGAUAAGGAAAUAAAGUAUAAAGCCAUGGCGGAUAUUUUGACUUAAUUCCUAGAGAACUUUAUUAAUCUGAUAAAGCCUGUAGGGGUGUUUUUGUUUUUUUUUUUUUUUCUGAAAAUCCAGUUAUGCUCAUGAUUUUCCUUAUUCAGAUCAGUGAAUUCUUCACCUGACCAAUGAAAAUGCUAAGACAUUUGCAGUUCAUUAUAAGAGAAGAAAUGGAUAUUUCCUGAGCAUAGUUUCUUAUUUUAUUUGCUACAAAUUGUCUAUUUGUACAUCAAUAUACUCUGAUUAGUUUGUUUAUGCCCUUGAGAUGUUACAUAAUUAAGUAUAUAAAAUGACUUAUUUUUACUUCCUUAAGGUAUAUGAUAACUAGAUUCAUAAAUUUAAAUUUUAAAGACUCAGUUUCAUUUAACAUGGAUUCCAGUAUUCCUGUAAGUAAAUAAUAAAUAGUAUUUAAUACCUAUAGCUAUACUUUAUAUCUGCAAUGGAGGAAAGCUGGUUAACACCUUUCCAUUAAUUUUAAAGAUGUGUUUUUUUAAAGAUGUGGUUUUUUAUAUUCACAAUAUAAAACAAGCAGCCCAUCCACCACUUUUUUCCUUUACAUGCAUAAAUCAAAUAAAUAGAGCUUUAAUACAUAUUAUUUAAGCAGAGCAUUAUUAGGCCAUACAUUUUUUUUUUCAAAAUCUUGUCUUGAAGAUAGUAUGACAAAAGUUAUAACUCUACAAUUAUACCUGAGGAAUUCACCAAGGAGAAAUGGAAAUAUAUGUCCACACAAAGACUUGCAUGUGAAUAUUCAUGGCAGUGUUGUUUUUUAUUAAACAGAAAGUAGAAACAAUCCAAUGUCCAUCAACUGGUUGAAUGGUGAAAAAAAAUAUGAUCUAUCCAAGCAACAGCACACCAUUCAGCAAUAAAAAGACCUGCUAUGUAGCACAGGGAACUCCAUUCAAUACUGUGCAAAGAAUCUGAAAAAGAUAUGUACAUGUAUAACUGAAUCACUUUGCUGUACACCUGAAACUAACACAACCUUGUAAAACAGCUGUACACUAAUAAAUUUUUUUAAAAUAGUAAUGAAGUGAUGAUACACGCUACAACAUAGAUAAGCCUGAAAAAUACUAUGCUAAAUGAAAAAGAGCCAUAUGCAAAAACCAUGUAUCACAUGAUUCCAUUUAUAAGAAAUGCCCAGAAAAGGGAGAUCUGUGAGAUAGAAAGUAGAUUAGUGAGUGGUUGUCUGGGCCAGGAGGUAAGAAUGAUAAGGGGUGACUGCAGAUGGGCCCAAGGGAUCUUUACGGGGUGCUGGAAAUAAUCUGGAAGGAGAUUGUAGUGAUGGUUGUUCAAGUCUGUACAUUUACUAAAAAAUGAUUAAAUGAUACAUUUAAAACAAGUAAAUGUGUGGUAUAUAAAUUACACCUCAAUAAAGCUGUUUAAAAAAAGAUAACAUGGAACAUCUGAAAAUGUCAAAGGGUCUGGCUGACUUUGUUUCCAUUAGCACAUGUACAGAUAGGCCUCAAAACUGCCCCCCCAAGGGCAGUAUACAGGUGAUUUUCAGUCACAUACUUGACCGAGCAGGAAAAAACACACAUGGAUUUCAAGUUUACAAUGUCCCAGUCCUAUUCUCUUCCCAGAUGUUGUGAUAAGAGUCAGUUGCCAAUAAGGAUAAAUAUAUUUUAUAUAGUUAGCUUAGAAAUGUGGUUUUUUAAGUAUGCCUAUAUCCUUGUAUAUUCAUAAACAAUUUUUGGAAGUUAUCUAGGAAACAUCAUAGUGGGUACAACUGGGAAAUGUAAGAGGAUUAAAUAGGGGGAAAAGGUUGUGGAUUCAUUCUUGUUAUUUGGUAGCUUUUUUUUUUUACUGUUUAAAUGCUUUAUUUGUUCAUGUACUACUUUGGUAAUUUAAAAAUGUUUAUAAAAAAGAAAUUUGUGGUUUUUUAUAAAAUGCUUAGUAUUAGUAAAAUUAUAAAUGAUGAAAUAGAUACUAUAGUAAUGAUGCCUAUAUAUGUAUACUUUCAGUAUUUUGUUAUUCAUGUCUUUUUAUACUUCCUGAGGAAAAAUGUUUUCAUUAAAAAAUUUCCUACAACAA
rnacentral:lncRNA from 1 species